ensembl:lncRNA novel transcript
GGGUCUGCAGUCACACAGCCAACUUGCGCUUGUGGCAGUGGCAAGGUUGGUGAGUAUCUGAGUCUUCAGGCCACGGCAUUUUCCGCUCGAGUGGAGCCUGCCUCAGCCUGUUCCUUUAACAUCAGCUUCUGAAACUAUCUCUGCAGAAGUUCUGAGGGUACCCCUCACUCAAGCUCCAGGCGUCAGGAAAAGAACAUUCCACGAAGUCCAUCUGGAAGACGGUCCUUUCCCUGCUGCCCCCAGCUUCUAGAACAUUCCCUGGAACACAGCAAGUGUUCAGUAUUGUUCAUGGAGUGACAGAUGUCUCAGCCAAGAAGGUACAAUCACAGGGAAGAAUGACUUCAACUGGUCUUGACUUCAACCUGCUUCCAGCCUGGUUCCCUUCUCCCACCUCCCUACAGCCCACA